UGCAUCACUUGCUUUUCUUUUUGUUGUUAUAAUUAAAGUUAGGUGUUACUUGAGCGAUUGUCUUUUUUUUUUUAAACUAGAAUUCACCUAGGAAAGGUCAGCAUGCUGCAUCAUGUGCUUCUGUCGGUGCAGCACAACACACUGUGAAUAACUGAGGUCUUACUGUAAUGCCAUUUCCUCUGGAGACCACGUACCCUGGGUCUGGAGAUCACCAAGGUACACCCUCCUCAGCCAAAGUCCAAGGCAUCCAAGACCAACUCAACCAAGUGAGGAGUGCUGUUGAAGGGGACUCCUUGCAGGACAUUCCCAGGGCUGAGGAGACAGUAUGUGGAUAGCAGCACUGUGCAUCCCUCUAGAUCUGAGGUCUAGAGCUGCCUUUGACAAGCCAAUUGAUAUCCUGAUGUCUGAGGGCUUGCCAAACAAAAGGGAGGUCUUGAGUCAACUGCUGAUCCUCUAUUGACAGUGGAGCAGCCACAUGACG